AGAAGAGGUGAACACACUCAGGACAGUUAAGACAGCUCAGACAUUGCGGUGAAAAUCAGAGAUAAAAAUCUCCGUUUUUGUUCUGCUGAAGAAAACAAAGUCACCUAAUCUACAUCUUGGAUGCCCUGGGGAAAAACAUGUUAUUGCGCAAGGGGUAGUGGCAUGGACUAUCAGUGGAGGGUCAGAAAGCUCUGAGAUUUCAUUAUAAAGAUCUUCAUUUGUGUUCUGAAGAUGAACAAAAGACUUGUGGGUUUGGAACGACAUGAGGGUGAGUAAUUGAUGACAGAAUUUUCAUUUUUGGGUGAACCAACCUUUUAACUUCUUUUACCUGGGGUGUUCAAAGACAUUUUAAAUGCUGACCAGUAUGCCAUAAGAAAUGAACUACUACAUAAAGGCAGAUAAAGGCAGUCAUAAGAACCAAGCGGAACGAUGAGGAUAAGCUCUUCAAAAGAUGAAACCUGCAUGAAUACUGAGGGAAGAAAUGUUCAUGAUUGUUUGAUUUGUAAAUAAACACUAAGUACAUUUAGUGUAACUCUCAGUCUGUUAUUUUAAGUUUAAGGAAAAGUAAAAUGAUUUAAUGUUGCAUUGCUGUUUGAGGCAUUCACUGUUGUUCAUUAUAUUGCAGAUGUGUGCAAAUAAAACUUGUUAUUCUGAA